UUCCGGUUGAUCCUGCCGGAGGUCACUGCUAUUGGGAUUUGACUAAGCCAUGCGAGUCGAGAGGGUUCGGCCCUCGGCAGACGGCUCAGUAACACGUGGAUAAUCUGUCCUUAGGUGGAGGAUAAUCUCGGGAAACUGAGAAUAAUACUCCAUAGAUCUAGGAUGCUGGAAUGCACCUAGGUUGAAAGUUCCGACGCCUAAGGAUGAGUCUGCGGACUAUCAGGCUGUAGUCAGGGUAAAGACCUGACUAACCUACGACGGAUAUGGGUUGUGAGAGCAAUAACCCAGAGACGAUAUCUGAGACACGAUAUCGGGCCCUACGGGGCGCAGCAGGCGCGAAACCUUCACACUGUGCGAAAGCGCGAUGAGGGAAUCCCAAGUGCUUGCUCGUAAGAGUAAGCUGUUUCUGUGUCUAAAAAGCAUAGAGAGUAAGAGCUGGGUAAGACGGGUGCCAGCCGCCGCGGUAAUACCUGCAGCUCAAGUGGUGACCACUAUUAUUGGGCCUAAAACGUCCGUAGCCGGUUUAGUAAAUGCCUGGGUAAAUCGAGCCGCUUAACGGUUCGAAUUCCGGGUAGACUGCUAAACUUGAGACCGGGAGAGGCUAGAGGUACUCCUGGGGUAGAGGUGAAAUUCUGUAAUCCUGGGGGGACCACCAGUGGCGAAGGCGUCUAGCUAGAACGGGUCUGACGGUGAGGGACGAAGCCCUGGGGCGCAAACCGGAUUAGAUACCCGGGUAGUCCAGGGUGUAAACGCUGCUUGCUUGAUGUUAGUUGGGCUUUGAGCCCAAUUAGUGUCGGAGAGAAGUUGUUAAGCAAGCUGCCUGGGAAGUACGGUCGCAAGACUGAAACUUAAAGGAAUUGGCGGGGGAACACAGCAACGGGUGGAGCGUGCGGUUUAAUUGGACUCAACGCCGG
rnacentral:rRNA from 1 species